rnacentral:rRNA from 1 species
GCGAAAGCACUUCGGUGCAAGUAGAGUGGCGAAAGGGCGAGGAAUAAGUACCUAACGUGCCUUCAGGUAAGGGAUAGCUCAUGGAAACGUGUGGUAAUACCUUAUAAUCUCAUCUUCUCAUAUGGGUUGAUGAGCAAAGGCUUGCUGCCUGAAGAUCGGGGUACUUCCUAUCAGCUUGUUGGUGAGGUAACGGCUCACCAAGGCGAAGACGGGUAGCUGGUGUGAGAGCACGACCAGCCGCAUCGGGACUGAGACACUGCCCGGACUCCUACGGGAGGCUGCAGUAACGAAUAUUCCGCAAUGCGCGAAAGCGUGACGGAGCAAUGCCGCGUGUGGGAUGAAGCAUCUAGGUGUGUAAACCACUGUCAGGGUUUAGGAAACAAAUGACCAGACCCAAAGGAAGAGCCGGCUAACUCUGUGCCAGCAGCCGCGGUAAUACAGAGGGCUCAAGCGUUAAUCGGAAUCACUGGGCUUAAAGGGUCCGCAGGCGGAUCGGUAAGUAUCUUGUGAAAUACCAUGGCUCAACCAUGGAAUUGCUCGGUAAACUGCCAAUCUUGAACACGGUAGGGGCCAUCGGAACUCUAGGUGGAGCGGUGAAAUGCGUAGAUAUCUAGAGGAACGCCAGAGGCGAAGGCGGAUGGCUGGGCCGUUGUUGACGCUCAGGGACGAAAGCAUGGGUAGCGAACGGGAUUAGAUACCCCGGUAGUCCACGCCCUAAACGAUGUGCACUAGGUCGCGGAGGUUUUGACGCCAUCGCGGCUGAAGUUAAAAUAUUAAGUGCACCGCCUGGGGAGUACGGUCGCAAGGCUAAAACUCAAAGGAAUUGACGGGGGCUCACACAAGCGGUGGAGCAUGUGGCUUAAUUCGAAGCAACGCGAAGAACCUUAUCCAGGGCUUGACAUGCACGGAUUAUUGAUCCGAAAGGUGAUAAACGCUCUCUGAGUGGAACGUGCACAGGUGCUGCAUGGCUGUCGUCAGCUCGUGCUGUGAAGUGUCCGGGUUAAGUCCCUUAACGAGCGAAACCCCUAUCCCUAGUUGCCAGCGAGUCAUGUCGGGG